UCCCGAGAACAACGCCUUAACGCCUUCGGUCUGAAAAAUUUUGACUCCGACCGAGAUUGGACCGGCACGUACGGUGGCCGGUGGGGGCGGCGGGGCAACAAGGGUGGCGGAAUGGGAAUUAUAAGCAAAAGCGGGGCGGAGAUUGUGGAUGUGCUGGGGGGCGGCGGCGCGAGCGGGGUUGCUCUCGCCCUGGAGCUGCAUGCGGACCUUGAUAAGAUCCAGCGGGUGGGUGGAGCAGCCGGCGACAAUGGAAGCGACGCCUCCCUCGACAAAUCCUUUGAUACCCAUUUUCCAAUCGAAUCAAAGGUCGAAUCUUUUGGGGUUUUUUUUCCCUUUUUCUGGGAUCGUCUGUUAAAAAAUGAAUGAAAGAAUAAAAAAAAUAGGAUCAAAAUUGAAUGGAUGGGUUUAGGAGGACCAAUUAGGGUUCAUAUCACUGGAGAUUAAGAGGUGGGAGUGGAGGGCAAAGGCAAUGGAGGAGGAGUGAGGGACGUUGGGCCUCUGAGACAUAUGCUGUAUGUAAGUAGAAAUG
rnacentral:lncRNA from 1 species